rnacentral:rRNA from 1 species
UACUAGAGUAGCACUCGCAUAUCAAUAAGCGGAGGAAAAGAAACUAACAAGGAUUCCCCUAGUAACGGCGAGUGAAGCGGGAAGAGCUCAAAUUUGAAAUCUUAAAGGGUUUCCCUUUACGAAUUGUAGUUUAAAGAAGUGUUUUCUGUUGAGGUUUUGGUAAAAGUUCUUUGGAAUAGGACAUCAUAGAGGGUGAGAAUCCCGUAUUUGACCUUUACUUUCAACUUUGUGAUACACUUUCAAAGAGUCGGAUUGUUUGGGAAUGCAGUCCAAAAUGGGUGGUAAAUUUCAUCUAAAGCUAAAUAUUGGCGAGAGACCGAUAGCGAACAAGUACCGUGAGGGGAAGAUGAAAAGAACUUUGAAAAGAGAGUUAAACAGUACGUGAAAUUGUCAAAGGGGAAGCGUUUGACACCAGUGUUGUUUUUCUGAAAAUCAAUUAAAGAACUGUUUAUGCUAAGCCGUUUAGACUUUAUCAGCUAACUGUUUAGUUUUGAGCUUUUCUUUAAUGCACUUUUCAGUUAACAAGUCAACAUCAAUUUCUUUUGCUGUAAAAAAGCUUGAGGAAGGUGGCUUGAGAUUCGUCUUAAGUGUUUAUAGCCUCUUGCCUAUGCAGUCGGAGAGAUUGAGGUCUGCAGCGUAGAUCCUUCGGGGCUAAAUGCAUUUGUGCUAAGUUAUAACAUUUUAUAGACAACUUGUUGACUAUGAUUUGUCUUGUAGCUUACUCGCUUAUGUUAUUUUACCUACGCUUAGGAUGUUGAUAGUCACAGCGUGUAC